rnacentral:lncRNA from 1 species
GGGGGGGAGAAGUUGGGGGACUAGAGGAGCGAAGGAGUCAGUGCUGAACGCGGCCCGGAAGGGUAGCAGCAGACGUCCCUCAGGCUCAUAGGGACCCGCCCCAGCCCUUGUGACCGUCCUUCUCGGCUCCCUCCCAACCCCGGGCUGCCCAGCGUGCCUGUCCCUCGGCCACUCUCUCCUGUCUCCGUCCAUCUCUUUCACCGCUGAAGUGUGUUUAGAUGGCUGCGCCAAGAAAAGGGUAACCAGAUUGUCCUCGGUCAUCUCCCUCAUAGCUCUUCCAGGUUAUAGCUUCCAUCAACAAGAACAGAAAUCCUGAAGGGGAAACUGAGGCACGGAGUCCUGACCCGAGAUGAGUCUGAGAAGAAGUCUCACCCGAUUCUCUCCUCGGUCACUUCAGUCCCUCCCUACUCCAGACGGAUGCUGCAAGGGUCUCUCCGCCCUCAGAAGGGAGUGGAUCUGCGUCUGCACCGGGCGGGACCUGCACUCGAGGAGCCGGACCCUUUCCCUAGCGCCCGGGUCCUAGAGGAGCGUGGCUUGGCCCUCCUCUCAAGAGCUCGCCCGGCUUAGCAGCGGACCUCUUCGCCGGUCCUCGCGCACCCUCUGCCGGCGCCUCUCAGGAAACGCGCUCGCUGUCCCCGCCCUGGAUAUUCCCGUCCCGUAGGACAGACGGAGGGCAGCCGGGAGCUCUGCAUGCCCCUGCUUUUGGAACACUCCUUGCACCAAGAUUCCAGAAAAUUCCUUUGUCUAUUCAAAACUGGAGGAGCGAGGACAAGAGAGCUGAACUUGAGGCAGGCCAGGCUCGGAGCAUAUGGGUCAGUCAUCCAUCACCUGCCACCUCCCUAGAGACCUUGGCAGGCCAGGCAGCUGGGGCUACCAUAGUGAAACCCAGUCUCAAAGCCAAACUGAACCCUGGUUUCAGGGCAGUCAGCGUCAACUCUCUCUGCAGAUUUGAGGGACGAGAGGAAAGGAGGGGAGACAAAAGGCUCAGUGAGAUCUGUGCGGAGCGGAACAAGGGAAUCAGCUGGGCGGAAUCACGGAGACCUGAGUGACAUUCAUCUCUGACACAUGUUGCAUGACUUGGGACAAUAAAAAGAACCUCUCUGGGAC